rnacentral:rRNA from 1 species
ACACUGACGUCGCGACGCAUAUCAAUAAGCGGAGGAAAAGAAACUAACAAGGAUUCCCUUAGUAACGGCGAGUGAAGCGGGAAGAGCUCAAAUUUGAAAUCUUCAAGGUUCUACCUUGACGAAUUGUAGUUUAAAGAAGUGUUUUCUGUUAGUGGAGUGGCAAAAGUUCUUUGGAAUAGGACAUCAUAGAGGGUGAGAAUCCCGUAUUUGGUCAUUCCUUCUAGCUUUGUGAUACACUUUCAAAGAGUCGGAUUGUUUGGGAAUGCAGUCCAAAAUGGGUGGUAAAUUUCAUCUAAAGCUAAAUAGUUGGCGAGAGACCGAUAGCGAACAAGUACCGUGAGGGAAAGAUGAAAAGAACUUUGAAAAGAGAGUUAAACAGUACGUGAAAUUGUCAAAAGGGAAGCGUUUGACACCAGUGUUGUUUUUCCGAAAAUCAAUUAUAAAUGUUUUGUUUCUGAGGAGUGAUGACUUCAUCGGCUUCCUUCUCUCUUCACGAAACUUUUGUAAUGCACUUUUCGGUUAACAAGUCAACAUCAAUUUCUUUUGUUGUAAAAGAGUAUUCGGAAGGUGGCUUUCUUUUCGGAGAAAGUGUUUAUAGCCCUAUACUUCUACAAUCGGAGAGAUUGAGGUCUGCAGCGUAGAUCCUUCGGGGUUAGAUACACUUGUGCUAAGUUAUAGCUUUUCAUAGACAACUUGUUGACUGAUGUUUAGUCUUGUAGCUUACUCGCUUGUGCUAUUUUACCUACGCUUAGGAUGUUGAGUCGUAGAGCACGCAG